CUCUGGUGAUUCGUCAGCGUGGACGGGAUGAGGGCUGAGGCUACGGAGACGGACUGAAAGAGAGACAAAGCAGUUAAAGACGGCGCACUUUGGGGAGGAACGGGCAAGUAAAACGAACCCCAAACUGUCACUGUGAAAUAUUACCCCAUCAUCCUCUCUGCCGAGGAGGAUGAAUCCUCGCACCAUAUUCGAGAUCAGUCGACCUCACGGUAUUCAUAUCACUGACUUGACCAAAUGUGUGAUUGUCAGCGUGAUGGAGAGACGCGUCGGCAGAGAGAUUCAUAAUGCGGGUGAUUGCAACGAGAGCGAAGGAGGCUCAACGGUGCCUCUUGUCUUUAAUUCGGCCUCAUGCAGCAGGGUGGGGAAUCGCUCCCCUACGAGGGAGCAUUUUGUAACGCGUUAGUGGUCAAUUCAGGUUAAAAAACACGUGUGUGCAGAAAAGGAUUAUAAGCCAGAGAAGGUGUGCCGGAGAGAGGACGAGCUCCGUCCCCGUGCACGCGUGGAGUGGGAAGGCGGCCGCCUUCAGGUUGUUGUAUCGUGAGGGUGCACGUGCAAACACGGAAACAAACAAACACACACACACACACACACACACACACACACACACAGGCUUUGCACAAUAACGGCAUUGGACAGAGCCAACAUCCACAACCAGAGAUUUGCCAGCGGAUUUUAAAAGGACAGGCAGUUGUGUGUGUGUGUGUAGAGAUGAGUGGGCUUUGGUUUAAUCCGAACAUGAAACACAAGAUCCCCCCCAACACACACACACACACACACACACACACACACACACACACACACACCACCCGUCUCCUCUGUCACUCUCUCUCUCUCUGUGUGUUUGUGAAUCUCCCUCCUUUAGCGUUGCAUAACAGCUUGAUUAUAUAAUCCCAAACAUAAAUGCACGUCCACGAGGCCCAGCGCUCGAGUGCAUGAGGAUACUGAGGAGGGGAAAAGACCGAGGGGGGGAGGGACAGCGACCACAGGGCUGUUGCACUAUGGGUAACGGUGUACCGGUAUCACGACAUCACGACACACUGUAUUUUGUUGAAUUACUUUUUUUUUUUAAACGUUAACAUACUUUUAAUUUGUGUAUAGCUUCAUCAUAUUUCAAUCAUAUCUUUUGCCCCGUGUUUAUCGUCAUAUAUUCAUAGCUAAGUUUGCUGCUAUAUUACUGCAGAUAUAUAUAUAUAUAUAAUGAAGAGCUAAUGCAUUUACUGUGGAAUAACACUUUAUGAUCUGAUAGUUCUCGAGGCUUCAAAGAGGUUGUAAGUGUGGCGCACAAACACGGAGGAUGGGAGCAGAACAACGGCGCUCCAGCAAAGUGGCGUAGUGCUGCAGAACUGGGUUAAAAGCAGAGACUUAAAUGGAGAUGACAGUUUGAGAACAUUUUAGAAGCUGAGCUUUGGAAGGCUCUCAGAAAGCUCCACCGGGGGGGAAAUCACAACAGAACGACGAAGUGAGGGAUUCGAGUAGUUACGUCCAAGGACAGGGUGGUGAAAUGGACGGUGGAUGACAGGACGAAGGGGACGGAGGAGACAGAAGACAUGAAGUCCACGAAUGAUGUCCUCACUGGUGUUAGCAGGCCGCCAGUAGACUUUGGGGCUGAAAGGCUUCACUCACGCUGACAAACCAGCACGCGCGCUUUAAACACACCAAGCUGAAGUGUAUUAUAUCUACAGACCUUUUUCUAUCGGCCCACUUCAAUUCAUUCACCCCGUCCUCCAUUUGUCCGCCUGUAUACCAUCAACAUACAUAUCUAACACAUCUCCCUCCCGCUCUCAUCAGUCUUCCAUCUCAGCAGUGAUGAAGGCUGGAAAACAACCCAACGUGGUCAAAGUGUCCCCUUUGCUUUCCUCGGACGCAGACGCGGCAAAAAACAGGCGUCAGCUGCGUUCUCUUCAUCCACUCGAUCCCGGCGCGUUGACUCCUCUCGUCCCACGCUGGCCCCCUCCUGUCACCGGCACGUCACCGGCCGAGGGGAAUCGACUCGACAGACGCUCCCCUUGCGCGGUGAUACACGCGGUCGUGCACUUUGGAGGGUCAAAGGUCGAAAAAAAGAAAAGGAGAGGAGGAUGUUGGGAGAAGAAGAUGAGAGCAGAGGAGCGAUGCGGUCCGUGGCCUCCUAACGUCACCAGAGAGGUGAGGAGGGCGGGUUGUCAUGGCAGCAGGACCGGGUAAUAAACAGGAGGAGAGGACGCCUGUCCAUCCGGCGCCGUCGGCUAAUAUUUCUGCCGGCAUGUGAAGUUCAACUUUAGAAGAGAGAUCAUUUUUUAAUUCCCUCAUCUUAAGACACAUAGAAACGUCUAUGCAGGCUGCUGGUUUCUUUCCACCAGCCGUCCCCGAUGAA
ensembl:lncRNA